UUCGUAGGUGACCUGCGGAGGAUCAUUGUCGAUGCCUAAACGUCAAACGACCCGCGAACGCGUUCACGAACAAACCGUCCGGGGCGGGGUCGGGGGAAGCGGGCGUGCUCUCUGCCUGCCCGCCUCCUCCUCCCCCCCUCCCGGCGCGUCUUAAACAAAACCCCGGCGCAGGUCGCGCCAAGGAACUUCAAAUGGAUUCGCCCGCCCCCUGCCCCGGCCUCGGCGCGCGGGGGGCGGAGCAUUCUAG
rnacentral:misc_RNA from 1 species